GUGAGGGGCUGAGGGUGGCUUGGUGCUGGCCUGCAGGUGCCCAUUGGUACAAGCAGCCUGGGUGCCUUGGUCAGCACAGCAGGCAGAUGGGCUCCUGGGUGGAGGGGGGCAGGUCCCUGGUGAGGCUCCACUUUCAGGCCAAGGAAGGUCUGAAGGCUGGGGACUGGGCUGCCAAUCCUAUGGACCAGAGUGGAGACUUGUGUCUUUUCUGGCCCGCCUGUGUCUGCCCACGGACCAAUUGGUGCUCACUUCCUUCCCUCUGAGGCCCAUAAAAGCCGUGGGCUCAGCCGGAGCAGAGCAGAGCUGAGGACACAGGGAUGACUGGACUACCAGCUGGAGAGAGGAGCUACCCUCUCUGCUAGGGGCCGAACACUCCUCCGGACACCCUGGCUACAGUGCAGGACAAGAACUUAGGACUGCAGGACAAGAACUCGAGACCCACACAAUGAGUCCUAAUCAGUUGGCACACAUUAUCUCAUUUCAUCCUCUCAACAGCCCUAUAGUGUAUGUGCUGUUAUUGUUCAUUCAUACUUUGAUAAUGAACAAACUGCGACUCAGAGAAGUAGAGUAACUUGCCCAAAGUCAACAGCUGGUAAGCGGAGCUGGGACUCAAACCCAGUUUAUUUGAACUUCAAAGCCUUGGUGCUCAGCCUUUUCAUCCUGGUUGAGAACUAGAGUCAAAGCUGUAUCCUUUUUCCAGGCCCUGGCAAUCUAGGGCAUGGAUAGUAAUGACAAAAGACAGCUGGGACAAUAGUCAGCAAUGUAUGGACUGGCCUUUCCUCAGCACUGCCUUCCUCAUUUCUCAGCACCACCAGGCUCGACCCAGCACAGCUCAUCCACCCACCCCAAUGACAGAAUGCAGCCAGAACUGUGGUCAAUAUGGAGUGGCACCUUUGAGAGAGGGCCUCUGAGCAAGUUCCUGUGCCUGUUUCUUUCAACGAGGAUAACUACUUCCACCUGCCUUUGUAAUUUGUUCCUGGGACAAAGAAAGCCUCUUGAGGAGGCUGGCCUGCCCUGCAUAUGUUGGAUAAACGCUUGAAAUAUGGACCUGUCCCCAUCUCUCGCCUUUCCCCGGAAUUCAGGACUGAAUGGAUGCUGCCUGCAUUUUGGGGAGUGGGAGUUUUGCUUUUCCUUUGCUUUGCUACUUACUCACUCUGAUGAACAAGGAGGAGACUGACAGCUUCACAGUCCUGGAUCAUUUCCUGCCCUGUUCUCCCAUCCAGCUCAUGGAAGUCAGCAACUCCAUCCACUCAUUGCACAGAGACCAGAAAGGGGAAGGGAUUUUCUCACUGUCUCACAGCAACUAAUGGCCAAGCUGUGGUGGGCGUCUUGGUGGUCUGAUUCCAAUUCAAGUUGGAGUGAGAGAGUGAGAAGAUUAUGGGCUGUGGCCUCAAGCCAACCAGGGUCUAAACCCAGCAUUGCCUCUGGCUUACUUGUGUCUCCUCUGCUUCCUCAUUCUUAGAAUGGAAAUCAUCAUCAUCAUCUCAUAGAAGUGUUAUGGGCAACAGACAGGAUAAUGUACAUGAAGCUCAUACAGCCUUAGGAUUAAAACCAGUGAAGACCCAAACGACUGUACCUGGGAAUUUAAGAUAAACAGGGUGUGUUACUGCCUGGCACAAACUGGGAAUUUGUGCAAAGGUAAGAUACCAAGCAGGACAGUAUUUCUCCUUGAGGGACCGUGAAAUCUUCUCAUCAUUUAAGCUUAUGAAACGAGGUGGAGCCUCAUUUCUUAAAGGGGGAAAUGCAAAUCAAAACUACCUGGGUAUCAUAUGAAAUUAUACCUUGAUAAAGCUGAUUUUUAAAACAUUACCCUGAGAAUUGUAAAGAUCAACAGUCCUGAUAACAAGCCAGGCAUCGUGGCUCAUGCCUGUAGUUCCAACUACUUGAGAGGCUGAGGUGGGAGGAUUGCUGGAGCCCAGGAGUUUGAGGCCAGCCUGGGCAGCAUAGCAAGACCCUCUUAAAAAAAUAAAAUCCUGGCCAGGCGCGGUGGCUCAUGCCUGUAAUCCCAGCACUUUGGGAGGCCGAGGUGGGCAGAUCACGAGGUCAGGAGAUCGAGACAAUCCUGGCUAACACGGUGAAAUCCCGUCUCUACUAAAAAUACAAAAAAUUAGCCGGGCAUAGUGGCAGGCACCUGUAGUCCCAGCUACUCGGGAGGCCGAGGCAGGAGAAUGGUGUGAACCCAGGAGGCGGAGCUUGCAGUGAGCCAAAAUCGCGCCACUGCACUCCAGCCUGGGUG
rnacentral:lncRNA from 1 species